ensembl:lncRNA
CUUCCAUUUACCAAUAUUACUCAGUGCUGCAUGUGACAUCACCAGAAGAACAGAGCAUCACACCAGACAGAAGUUGACAUCUACAGAAAACGUCACUUUCCAGGCCUGUACAGUGAUGUCACUGAUUGGCUGGGAUGUAGAGCUGGUUUCGAACAGUGCAGCAUGGCCGGAUUGGCUGCUAGCUCUUCUGGUUACUGCCUGCUUGGGCAGCGGUCGAACCAGACACUUUCUGUCUCUCUUGUUGUCGUUUGAAGCAAAUCUUGUUCAGCCCAGCUGUGUCUCCAUAGUAGUGGCACCCUAAGAGAGUCUCCCUCCUGCUUCCCACAGCUCAUCUGUAAGGCGGUCGCUGCUGUGAAAUACCAGCCUUUGGCACAGAGCCCAGACUGCGUUGUUAGAUCCGUCUAUAAUACAGAAAAGAAUUUUUUUAAAGCAGUUCUUUCACCGAAUUACAUCCUAAGAAGGAUUAAUAAGCACUAAAUUGCAACUGAUUUAGGGACCUUUAAAUUAUAUAGCUAGCACGCUUUCUGAAAUAAAACAUUAUCUGACCUGCAAUAAUACAUCAUCAUUGGUUGAAAAUUAGGAAAAAAAAAAAAAAAAAAAAAGGAAAAAAAAAAAAGAACAGGAAAGGAUGAAAGAAAGGAAGAAAAAGAAGCAAUAACUUCUUUGUUUACCUUGAUUACAAAAAAAAAUCUUCAUUUUUUCCCCCCUAGAACGGUAACUGAUAUCUCGGUGCUACGGAAGAAUAUUUUAUACUAUCGCCAGUUUUCUAUUUACAUCCGAGGUAUUAUUUUCAGGUUAUGACAAGGGAUCUUAAUUAGCAUUCUCUUUAACUACGCAAACUGAGACAGGGCAUGAAAGAAAAAUGCUGUAUGGAAGAGAGAGAGAGAGAGAGAUGGAGAGAGAGAGGGAAAAAAAAAAAUCUGUGCAGCUUUUACAGUUCAGCUGUCUGACCCCCUGCAAAAAGAAUGCAGUCAUAUCAACUUUGCCAGACAAUGGAGUACCUACAGGCUUUCCUCUAGACAAGUCCUUUAUAACCAGUCAGUAUUAUGUGCUGCAGACAGUGGCCAAUCGCUAAGCUGCUUUCUGCAGCAGUGACACAAUAGGUGCACUGGCCACACUGUCCUCCUAGCCUCUGACAGCAGUUCAGGUUCAUUUUUCCUAUGCUGGAAUACGCAUAUGUUUUUAAUGUUACCACUGUAUGGAAAAAAUAUCAAGAGAAGCUCGCUUUGUUUUCCUAUAAUUACAUCAGCCUAAUUACUGCAGCC